rnacentral:lncRNA from 1 species
CAGUUCUGGCCAUCCGCCCGGUGGUAGUUGUUUGCAGUGUUACUAUUGAUACCUGCAGGUAUCUGCUUAGUAACAUCUGUUGGUUGAGCUGCAGCAAUGGGCUUGGUGGAAGCCCCAGUAUUAGCAGCUGGUCCUUCGCUAGAAGAAGCUGGGGCAUUGUUUGGCGCCGGUUUGGGAGCCUCUCCACUCCCAAAAAGGUAGCCCAAUGAACUCUGUCCUCCACCACUGCUGACUCCUCGACCC